AAGCACCGGGUCCUGAUGGUCUA
rnacentral:siRNA from 1 species